UCGUAGGUAUCAUUUCCCUGCCCAUCAAAACCAACCUUGUCCUCAAGGUUCAGAUUAGGAUAAUAUGCCUUCAUAUUUGAUUUCCAUUCCCACGUGCAAUCGUAAGCCGACGAGUUUUUCCACUGAACCAAGACCUCCUCUUGACCAGAACGGCUGUUAACCCGUGAGUUCGGAAUUGCUUCAGGUACUGCUGACAGAAUGGAGAUGGAGUUUGUGGAUGGAGAUGGAGUUUGUGACCUCGCCUACUGCCUUCUUCUUCAGCUGUGAAAUGUGGAACGUAGGAUGAAUUUUCGCUUCCUCAGGCAACUUCAACUUAUAUGAUACCUUCCCAACUCGAGCUUCCACUGUGAAAGGCCCAUAGAAGCGUUCUGCCACCUUCUCGUUAGCUCUACGAGCAAAUGACUGUUGUCUGUAAGGCCUCAGUUUGAGAAACAUCUCAUCACCCACUUUGAACUCUACUUCCCUUUUGUGUCCAUCUGAACGCUGUUUCAUCAGUUGCUGCGAUCUGUGCAGGUUCUUUUUCAAUAAUUCCAAGGUCUCAUCCCUCUCCUUGAGUUUCAUAUCUAGUUCAGCAUUAGUGGUCGAUCCCAAUUCAAACUUCAUCAAAGAUGGAGCUUCUCUUCCAUAGGAGCAACACAGAAUGAUGUCAUGUUGAUGGCUUAAUGAUCUCAGCUCUGCCCAAGGUAGAUACUUGGCCCAUGUCUUUGGUUUCCCUCCCGCAAAGCAAUGCACAUACGUCUCCAUUCCCUUGUUAGUCACUUUCGUUUAUCUCUUUGAUUGCAGAUGGUAAGCAGUACUGAGACAUAAGCGUGUUCUAGAAAGUUUGAAUAGCUCUUUCCAGAACAAUGAUACUAUAUUCUUGGGAAACCCGUGGAGCCUGAUUACCGCUUGAGUGAAAACCAACGCGGCGCCUAGAGCUGUGAAGGGGUGUUGAAGCCCUAUGAAGUGGCUGUAUUUGGUAAAUUUGUCGAUUACGACUGGUACUGCAUUGAUCCCUUCAAAAUGGGCCGGGGCAGCCCUUACACAAAGUCCCUGGACAUGUCCUCCCACACCUGCUGCGGAAUAGGAAGAGGCUGCAACAGACCACUAGGAGCCAGAGUGGAGUAUUUCUGCCUUUGACAUAUCGGACAUGCAGUAACAAAACGUCUGAUAUCUGUCAUCAUUCCGGACCAGUAAAAUGCUUUCAGCGAUAUGUUUAUGUGUCUUCACAACUCCCCCGUGUCCUGCCAUCUUUCUAUCAUGAAACUCCUUGAGGAUUAGCCCAAUGAACCUUGACUCGGGUGGAAUUGCUAACUUGUCCUGUCUCAGUAGCCUAACAUGAACGAGGGUGUAGUCAGGAUGUAGGCUGCUAUCAUUCUUCAUUUUACCGAUAAGCUUUUGUAAUUCCCCAUCAGACUCAACUUCUCCAAUAAUUUCCUCCAAUUGCAACACUGCAGGCACACUGCAAGCAGACAUCUCAUUUUUAACUCCUUUCUUUGAUAGUGCAUCUGCUGCCUUGUUCUCCAAUACGGGCUUGUAAUGAAUAUCAGCCGAACCCGAGAAUUUUAGUUAGCCAACAUUGAUAUUCCAUGUUGAUCUCUUGUUGUUCCAGCAAGUACUUGAUGAGGCUUUUCUGAUCCGUCUUUACUAGGAACUUCCUCCCAACCUAGUAAUGAUGCUACUUAUGGAUUGCAAAUACUAUCGCCAUUAGCUCCUUCUCGUACAAUAACUUCAUCUGUUGUCUGUCUGUCAAGGCUUGGCUUAAGUAGGCGAUGGUUGUCUGGUUUUGCAUCAGCACUGCUUCCAAGCCUAUUCCUGAUGCAUCAGACUCUACUACAAACAAGAAUUGAAGUCUGGCAUGGCUGGUACUGGAAUGUUUUUCAUCACUGCUUUCA
rnacentral:lncRNA from 1 species